GCGUGAUGGAUGCUGUCGAGAGUCAAAGUCGGCUAACGGCCCGCCAGCCAGCGUUCUUUUUAAAUUGGAUGCAGAGUUUGGAAAAAUGUUCCCCGAACGGAAGACCUCUAUCUUCGGUAAUGGGAGGACAUAUUGUUCCAAAACUACUUAAAGUGGCUACACUUGAAAAUGAGCCCCAUGUCUUGCCAGCUGGUGAGGAGAGUGAUGUUCGGCGGUGAUGCAAUAUUUCUUUUGCUUCGCGGCUACACUCCCCUGACGGGCUGACUUGAACACGGUAAAAGCUAUUGAGGUGGAAAAAGGUCCUGAACCGGUGGAUGUUUAGGUAGGUGGACAAGAAUUCCAUUAAGAAGUCAAAAGGAAUAAUCUCUCUGAAUUCUAUUGACCAAGCGCACAACUGACACUAAAAUAUUUGUAUGCAUGGCUUUUGGGAUGGCCUGAAACUGUCAUACCAAACACAUUUGAACAUGUUGACGGUCCACUGCUUGCUAAGUUUUUCCGCCAUUUUGUAAAAAUAAAUAUUAUCAGAUCUAUUAAAGAUAUAGCUUUGAACAAACUAUAACAGUAUACACUCCUCUUUAUUAUGUAGUGUACAUUGGGUUAUUGUGAUAUGCUGUACGCUCAAGCUGCUGUUACAUAAAAGGAUGGAUUCACAAUUGAUAACAGACAUAGCGGAAUAUUUAAAAACUAGUGUCACAGUUCAGCUCCACAUCCUCCUCACUACUCAUCAGCCUAAACUCCCAUCACCUGCCUGUGAUGACUAAUCAAGCCUCUAUAUACAUGUGCUGUUGGUUACAACAUAGAUUAUUGCAUGUGUGAUCCAUUGAUGGUAUAAACACAUAGAUAUUUCUUCUCAUAGUGAUGGCUGAUUUAGACUGUAUUCUGUAUCUCUGUGGUUACACAAACGAGGUGGAGUAAAAACUGCAAACAGAAAAUAUCAAAAAACGACACAUGCUCUGAUUAAGGAUGUUUUGAUUUCCCCCUAAGGCCUUAAACCCAGAUCCCUCACAGACCUAAUUGACGUCACCUGUUAAAUGCUAGAGUGGGAAAAGAUGUAAGAGCUUGAAAUGCUUUUAAUUUUAAUGGAGCACCACUUGGCUGCAAGAUAUGACAUUAUGUACAAUUGUAAGUAAUCCAUUUUGUUUUUUGUCCUUCGAACGUCCUCCGGCCUGGGUAGGUGAGCAGUAAUUUGGAAUACAAGAGGUGAAGAGAGGGACGAAAGCCAUUGAAAAGGAUUGUGAUGGGGAUGAGCUAACUUGUUUCUUUGGACCACAGAGCUUCCAUUGUAUGCAUGGAUUAACAUGUCAGGUUUUACUAUUAAAAAUGGAAACCGCGCUUCAAGGUGCGACGAGAUGUCUUCAACUGUUUGCCCAUCCAUUAACCCAGGGAAGAUUAAAAUAAAAUGCUCAACAAUUUCCUGAGAUGGCAAAAGGACAGCUUGAAAAACAAAUAUUCUGGUGUUUCCUGUAACCGUAUUUCAGCGCCACUCUUUCAGUGGCAUUCAUAUUAGCCAACCUCAACAAAUUUUUUAGCAGUCAUAUUAACAUUGCCUGCCAACAACUCAACAUUUAUAAUCCUCCCCAUCCAUAUAUCAGCUACGUUGCAUCUGUUCCAUGUCCCAACAGGCCCAGCUCCUGCCAUCCUUUCUGUUCCCGAGGCCUAAGCUUUUCAUGGUGUUUUAUGGCCAGGAACAAUACAUUAGCAGAAGUAGCCUUAUUUUCUUAAUUUUAGUGAGAAUGUUUUAGAGAGCUCACCUUAUAUCUGGCUGAUCCUCGUCCAGCAUGGUUCUUGGUUUCAGGUACUAAUUUAACUUGCUGAAUGAAGUAGAGGGGAUUCAAAUAUUCUCAGCUAGUAUUUUAAUAGUUUUUAUGCCUUUUCCUUAACAUAUAACAUACAUACAUGACAAACAUAAUUUCCAGUUCUAUUUCAGUUAAAGAACAUGUUAGGUUCUGUCUUCCGUGUACAUGGGAAACCAGUCAGUUAGGUUUUGGUUAUAUUUGGGAGAGGAUUGUAAAAUGUCGGGUUAAAAUGAAUACUGAAGCGAACGUUGACUCCUCAACUUUCCUCCCACCUUCCCUAUUUGGUUCUUUUUGCGUUCCCUGGUUCACCUGGACAACAUGUGACUUGAUUUAUUUAUCUUCGUUAUCUUCUAACUGCAGCCCAAUCCUUUUGAUAGAUAUAGCUACAAAAGCAGCGAGAGAACAAGCUGGAUAUACAGAACACGGCUGCAUUGAACACCAUAGCAGGAUGUCUUAGAGUCUAGGCACUCCUAGUUCCAGCCCUGCAAAAUAUGUGCCAACAACAAAUCACCUUCCAAUCUAACCUAGAUACUGUCUAUCUUUCAUCUGCAGAAUAUAAUACAGCAUGCGAUGUUCCUGUUGAAAGGAUGAUAGAGUAAGCCAACAUGUUGGUGUGGUGCUGGGGUGGAUUUUCUCCUGUAAUGAGCAGUCUGCAGCGUGUAACCUGCUGUGGACACCAGACAUCAUUUAUGCCCAGGAACAAACAAGCCACACAGACGCAACUGCCAAAAGCACCAUCCAUUUAAUGGAGACGAGUCAGAGAGAGGGCAGGCUGCAUACGGCCACACACAUAGCCAGCACUGCACUGCGGAGCAAAGCAAACAGACUGGGGGGGGGGAGCAGAGUGUUUUUAUUUUAUUUGUGAAGGUUUAAAAAUAUGUUUUAAUAAAAGGUGUAUGUCUAAUUAUGAAACCUUAAAAAGAAUAGAAUGCCCCACUGACGAUAAUAAACUAAGUGCUGUGUCCCUUUUUCUGGAAGCUCCAGACCAGGAAACAGGAAGCCCACUCGUUCACUGCGACGCUGGCUCGUGUUGUUUUUCAUUUGUCCCUACUCCUCUCCACUGAGACUGACUUUACUCAUUAAAAAAAAAAUUCCAGCAUCCAAUGUUGAUUUUCCCUGUAAAUGCAUACAGUAUGUUUCCUUCAUUCCAGGAAACAUUUCUUCAAUUGCCUGGGACAAUUUACUUAAAAAGAUGUUGAAAAACAGUCAACAGUCAUUAAUGUAGUUAGUAAGUCCAAAUCCCACUAAUCCUGGACAUUUGGAUUGCAUGGUUGUACUUGAAGGCUACAGGAACACUUUUUACAGUGUAUCUCCUCCCACUCCAGUUUGCACAAAGCACCAAAAAGACGCAGGCAAGGAAAGAACUCUUUGUAUGGCUGGCUGCAGAGCUCUACCGUAUGCCAUGCCAUGUUAAGAAAAUAGUAGAGUGCAGUCCUAAACUGUCCAUUGCCAAAGUUCUUGGCCUUUCGACUGGUUAUACUGGGAAACUCCAGUGUGAAACUGAAGGGCAUUGUUGGCUCAGCCAACAUUCCUGACUAAAUAAGAGCACAAUCUGUUUUAUGAGAGCGAUAUCAGGGUGAAACUCCUUGUGUGUCAGCCCCUAAAAGUCCACAGAGACGACAAGGUGAAUGGUUUGCGCUGCUGACUACCUAAAGUUUCUUUUUUCUCAUUGUUUCUCUAAUGUCC
ensembl:lncRNA